CAACUUGUAGAUUUUUAAGUACUUUCACUGACAGUAUUUUGUGUGAUUUUUAUGACAAUCAUGUAAAGUAUGUAUUUUGUCCACAGUCAGAUAAGGAAACAACAGCAGCUCAAAGACAAGAAGGUGAAUGCGGUAGUGUACAUUAAUAGAUUGUAUUUGUUAACAUAGUAUUGAGGAUUUUUAAUAUGAGUAGUUGAUCACAAUUUUCUGUUCUUGUUUUGGUGCUGAAAUUUCAUUGGCUCAUAAAAUAAGUUAGAGAACUUCUGUUUUGCUACUCUCAAAUCAGUUGGUUUGGCAUGGGAGUCACCUGUUCCCUGAAGGUUUCAUAAAAUUCACCUGAAAACCAGGGAAGCCUGGUAGCACUUGCUAAGACAUUCUUCUAUGAACUUACGGAAGACAAGAUAAAAUUCCCGCCUUGGUAUCCACAUGGAAUCCAGGAAACCUGUGCAUCUGAUGGUUUGAUACACCCUUUUGUCAUCAAUUCUUAGUUACUAUGCAUAGUCUACUGAUAAUUGUUCAUUGUGUACUUUUCGUUACUUAAAAUUCUUCAAAUCACCCUAAGACAUUUACUCCAGAGCAAUUGGCCAUGACCUGAAGAUCUACAAGCUCAUACAAACAUCUUCCUACAGCUCGUACAAAGAGUCCUGUGAGAUGCCACCAAUUGUAUCAGAUUCCCCACCUUAGGAAUCAACUCAUAUCUAUAUUAUACCAUCCGGCAGAUGGGAAGAAUUUAAUAAAUGUUUGUUAAAUAAAUGCCUCUCACUAGUUUGAGUGAAACAGAUGGGCCAAAUCAUUUAUCGUUUCUGAUUUGGUGUUGAGGAAUAAACUCAUGUAAUUUCUUUGCAAUACCCAUUGAGCCACAAGUGCAUAUUUAGCCCCUGUUUAUUACAUAGACACUUUGUAGUCUUGAUUAAAUUUACUUUAAUUCUCACAGCACAGUUCUCAAAUUGAUAGCAUUGUCACCGUUUUAAAGAUGAAUAUGUUAAGGCUUAGAAGGAAUAACUGGUUUUCCCUGCCACUUUGCCCCAGCAAAGUAAAAAACCAAAUAAGAGCUUCUACCCUUAUUUCAAAGCACUUUUCAUCAUGAAUGCAUACCCCCA
rnacentral:lncRNA from 1 species